rfam:Triticum aestivum genome assembly, contig: Triticum_aestivum_CS42_TGACv1_scaffold_514721_6BS
GGUCCACUAUUCAGUUGGUGGAGUACAAAGCUCUUAACUUUGUGGACAUGGGUUCAAGCUCCUUGAGGGCUA